UACGUAGGGAGCAAGCGUUGUCCGGAAUCAUUGGGCGUAAAGCGCGCGUAGGCGGCCCUGUAAGUCCGUUGUGAAAGUCAAAGGCUCAACCUUUGAAAGCCGAUGGAUACUGCAGGGCUAGAGUCCGGAAGAGGCGAGUGGAAUUCCUGGUGUAGCGGUGGAAUGCGCAGAUAUCAGGAGGAACACCAAUAGCGAAGGCAGGUCUCUGGGCCACUACUGACGCUGAGAAGCGAAAGUAUGGGGAGCGAACAGG
rnacentral:rRNA from 1 species